ACGAACGCUGGCGGCGUGCUUAACACCUGCAAGUCGAACGGAGAGGCCCUGCUUUUGUGGGGUGCUCGAGUGGCGAACGGGUGAGUAACACGUGAGUAACCUGCCCUUGACUUUGGGAUAACUUCAGGAAACUGGGGCUAAUACCGGAUAGGAGCUCCUGCUGCAUGGUGGGGGUUGGAAAGUUUCGGCGGUUGGGGAUGGACUCGCGGCUUAUCAGCUUGUUGGUGGGGUAGUGGCUUACCAAGGCUUUGACGGGUAGCCGGCCUGAGAGGGUGACCGGCCACAUUGGGACUGAGAUACGGCCCAGACUCCUACGGGAGGCAGCAGUGGGGAAUAUUGCACAAUGGGCGGAAGCCUGAUGCAGCAACGCCGCGUGCGGGAUGACGGCCUUCGGGUUGUAAACCGCUUUCGCCUGUGACGAAGCGUGAGUGACGGUAAUGGGUAAAGAAGCACCGGCUAACUACGUG
rnacentral:rRNA from 1 species